AUGAAAACAAGGCUGAAGAGAGCGGCAUGUUUAGAGCAGGAGGUUUUUGUACAGCCAGUAAACCAGUUUGUAUCACUGUGGUGGACUUUUGGUGGAGGAACCAAACUGUCAGUUGGAAGUGUGGCCGCGCCCACCCUCACGGUCCUGCCCCCCUCCAGCGUGGAGCUGCAGCAGGGGAAGGCCACACUCGUGUGUUUGGCCAACAAGGGCUUCCCCUCAGACUGGAGGCUGAGCUGGAAGGUGGACGGGAGCAGCUGGAGCUCGGGGGUUAGCCAGAGCCCCGGGCUUCUGCAGAAGAACGAUGGCCUCUACAGCUGGAGCAGCACCCUGACCCUCCAGGAGGACCAGUGGCUAAAGAAGACAGUGACCUGUGAGGCCACCAAGGACUCCCAGACUCCUGUCAGCCAAACCCUGAGGAGAGAGCAAUGCACUGGGCAGUGAGCGUCCACGCGUGUGUUGGAGCUGCUAGAGCUCCUCUUGAUUUUCAGUAUUAAUAUCUACAGUCUUUCAUUGUUUGUGUUAUUUUCCUUUAAAAGCAGCAACAAUAAACAUGUAAACAUUUCUUUGAUCUGUAA